AACGGACGCUGGCGGCAGGCUUAACACAUGCAAGUCGAGCGCCCCGCCAGGGGAGCGGCAGACGGGUGAGUAACGCGUGGGAAUCUACCCAUCUCUACGGAAUAACGCAUGGAAACGUGUGCUAAUACCGUAUACGUCCUUCGGGAGAAAGAUUUAUCGGAGAUGGAUGAGCCCGCGUUGGAUUAGUUAGUUGGUGGGGUAAAGGCCUACCAAGGCGACGAUACAUAGCUGGUCUGAGAGGAUGAUCAGCCACACUGGGACUGAGACACGGCCCAGACACCUACGGGAGGAAGCAGUGGUGAAUAUUUGACUAUGCGCGCAAGCCUGAUCCAGCCCUGCCGCGUGAGUGAUGAAGGCCCUAGGGUUGUAAAGCUCUUUCACCGGUGAAGAUAGUGACGGUAACCGGAGAAGAAGCCCCGGCUAACUUCGUGCCAGCAGCCGCAGUAACAC
rnacentral:rRNA from 1 species